CACUACUCUAAGCUCGGUCUAUCAUUCUAUCAUUCUAUCAUUCUCACCUUCUCAUCUUUCAUUUUCUUUCAUAUCAUCUUCUCAUCUUUCAUUUUCUUACACAUUAUCUUCUGUUCUUUAUCUUCUUUUCUUCUAUUUUAUUUCAUCUAUUUAUUUUCAUAAAAAAAAAAAAAACAAAAAAAAAAUCAUAAAGAAGAUAAUCCGGAUUUGAGGACAAAUCCUUUUUCAAGAGGGAGAGUAUGAUAUGAUAAUGGGAAGCAUCAGGAUAUGUGUUCAGUGUUCGAAGCGUAUCUUCCGAAUGACAAGAAAUCAAUUCACGAAACCACUUGGAGAAUGUUCUCAGCUCAACUAUGGAACUCCUAGAAGAAGAAUCAAAGCAAAAGGAGAUCAAAAAAAGGAGUUAUUCAAUUUACAAAUCAGGUGUUCUCCAGUUUACCAGAUUCGGACCUUCGCGCAUUCAAUGAAGAAUUCCGACGAGACCAGAAUGAACUAAGCUACAAACUGAGUUUUUCUACAAUCUUGGUCCAUUAGAGAAUCCCAGAAAAGUAUAUUCAGCCCAAAAAUAAUCAAGGAAGAUCAAAUUUCGUCCAUAGAAAAGACUGCAUUUAAUUCUGUCGAUUUCUCUCUCUUACAUGCACUUUAGAGUUUGAAUUUCAUCUCCCUAGAUGCUUUGCAUGUUAAGAAACUAUUAUGGACGAAUUUGUUGUAAUUUCUCUAUAUAAUGAGGUUCAUCUCAUGAAUAAAGAAUAAGCCUUUUUGAUAUUUUUGGAAUCCUUUGAGAGUGAGUUUUCAUUUUUCGUCAAUGGUGUGUAAUAUCCAUUGGUUUGGUUAAUGGUGUGUCCAUUGAUCAAUACAUGAUCUGUCUUGGUGCGUCAUAUCCAGGGGGUCUUGUCGAAAGUGAUUCUCAUUUUCAGCCUUGAAUUCGUCUUACUGUGUCAUAUCUAAGGAAUUCAAGUUCGGUAAAUCAAGAGUCUUCCGCAGCUCUUGUGUGACCAUUCGCUCCACCAUCCUUGUUCUUCG
rnacentral:lncRNA from 1 species